rnacentral:lncRNA from 1 species
GUUUGAGAGGCUCGCUCAUUACAACAGAUGGCCCCAGCGAAACAAGGCAGGCACAGUGGCAGGGGCAGACAGUUUUUUUAUUUAUUACAGGAACCAUGAGGAUAAUGCACUUUUCUAUUUGUGCUUUUAUCCGCCCCAACAAUAGGACGUUUUGAUUGAGGUGAACAGGUAGAACGUGGCAAUACAAUUUUUUACUUGCACAGCCAAGUCAAAGGGUCACAAAAUGCGACUAAAUGGUAUGUCUGGCGCCCUGCCUCAGUUGCGUUGGACUGCGCUUCAACCACAUUCCACUAGCUGUCUCAUUUGACAAAAACAAUAAUCAGAGAGUUGAGGGUAAGGAAGAAAUGUAUCAAAGAAGAAGAGAAAGAGACUGAAAAAAAGAGGGGAUGAAGAGAAGAUGGAAAUAGGAAUAGAGUGACAGAAGAGGGGGAGAGAGAAAAAAUGGAAUGACAGAAAAGAAGAAAACAACUUGAGGUUAGUCUUUGCAGGCACUAUCGACAAACGUCAGUGGGAAAAGGUUGUGAUGGACUACUUCCUGGAGGACGAUCGUGCCAUGUUGAUUCUCUCUGACUCUGAAAAGGAAUCAGAUGAUGAGGAAAUCCCUAAUGUAGGUUAAAUUUUUUUUGAAGAAGACAUUUGUAGAGUCUUCUGAUGACAGUGAUGGGGAAGAAACGGCGAUCAACAGUGUUGUUGUCAUGAAAGAAGUUGACCGAGUGUUGAAAUCCGUGGAAUGUCUGUGCAAACUAAACAGAAAUGACACUGGACGUCUUAUUUAAUGAAAGGGGUUGCAGUACGCUGUGAAGCUUUCAUCCAUGUAUACGGAACACGCCUGACUCUCCUCCACUGGUCAUACAAGGAGAAUGGUCUAAUGCCUCCCAUCAGAAAGAGAGCUGGCCCAAGCAAGCACAGGUUACACCUGAAGCAUGAGGACUUGCAGCGAGUGGUGAACUUCAUCAACAACUACGCAGAGGAUAAUGCAAUAGUAUUACCAGGACGCCACCCACACAAACACUUAGGUGGAAAGCUGCUGCCACCCCAUGUGACAAAAGCAGCAGUGUGGCAUCUGUACAAGGAAUCAAUGACAACACUUGAGGUACGUGUAGUCGGGCUGCCUUCCUUCAGGAAUCUGUGGGGAAAAUUGCUGCCCCACAUCUCAAGCACUGCCCCACAUCUCAAGCCCAGUUGUCUCUGGGGGCCCGUACUGAACCAGCAAGAAAAGACAUUAGGAUGCAUUGCAGCUUUGAUUUUGCUCAACAAGUGCACUAGCCUGCAGCCAGGUCCCAUCUACUUCUUAACUCCUCACAAGUGUGGGUUGUUUGGUGUCUGCUGUGAAGGAAUACCACAACAAGUCAACUACUUGAUUGAUGAAGGCAUGUUGUCCAGCAAAGUGAAGGACAGCACUCUGACAGGGGUCAACAUCCCACAGCUGGUUGGACUGGAAGAUGGUACCGUGCUGGUGGAAAGCUAUUGCUGGCAACAACACCUGACUCUGUACUUCAGGCUGCUGCUACAGAUCAAACAGUACCAGCACUUCAGCUUCGAUGUUCUGGAGCCUGGUGUUGUCGCCAAGGAGCGUUCGGACUCAGUCAGGACCAGGUUUCAGCUGUUGUGCAAUGCUGACAUCCUUCCUCCCAUAGAUGGUCUGCCUGUAUAAGCACCACCUGGACUGGACACAGCUAGACAAACAUCUUUUUGAGAAGAUAAGGGAGUUUUGUUAUGAAGAGGCUAUGGACGUCACAUGCCCUGCACCAAAGUCAAGGGCAGGACAGAAACAGGCUCUCCGAAUAUAGAUUCCCUUGUUCAUGCAUGGUUCGGAUGGACCAGUCAUAUUUUACUUUUACUUCACUACAUUCUGAAAAAAAUAUGUAUUUUUUUAAUCCAUACAUUUUCCCUGACACCGAAUGGUACUCGCUACAUUUUGACAGGAAUUUUUUUUUAAUUCACACACUAAUCAAUAGAACAUCCCCGACCAUCCCUACUGCAUCUGAUCUGGCAGACUCACUAAACACAAGUCCUUUGUUUGUAAAUCACGUAAUAAAAAAAUAAACAUAAAAUUGUGCCGUUUGGUUUAUUAAUAUAAGGAUUUUGAAAUGAUUUAUACUUUUAAUUUUGAUACUUAAGUAUUUUUAAAACCAAAUACUUUUAGACUUUUACUCAAGUAGUGUUUUAAUGGGUGACUUUCACUUGAGUAAUUUUCUUUUAAGCUAUCUUUACUUUUACUCAAGUAUGACAAUUUUGUGCUUUUUCCACCGUUUUUCCACCGCUGGGGGUUAUAGCAUUUCUUUCACAUGACCCAUCAAUUUAGACAAAUGUGUCUGGGUAAGCGUCAUCUAAUAUUUAUAAAAUAUUUUAUCUGGACACUUUCUGUUUAACUGGAAUUUUUCCUUAUUGUAGGCUACUACUUUUACCUCUUUUUUGUCUUAAUCUUUACUGCACUACUCACUGUUUAGCACAUGACCUCACAUGUGAAUCCUUAAAGAGAUGGGCGGGGCUGGCUUAAGAGGGUGUGAACAAUGCUGAAUGUUUGUAGACAAAGGAGAGCUCCCCAGUAGGUACCAAAUUAUUCAAAG